AAAGCGUUAGCCGCGUAUUUGUCUCUUGCUCACUCCUAUGGUUAGCUCGCGGUUUUCUUCGAUCUCAGUACGGCAACGUGCUUUUAAUAGCCUCUUCCCACAAUGAUUCAUCCAAUAGUCGGUUAACGGACGAUCCAUAACAACCUCAUACAACAACCCCAUCCGUUCGAAACGGUUAGGAUUCUUGACAAAUGUGAAAUUCCGAUUCCCACAGGGCACAUCCACCAUCUAACAUCCGAUAACAGCUUAUCUGAAGACCUGUUACUUAUCAAACCAAACCUGUUGCUUCUGCGUCUCCCAUUUUCAAAUGUGAAACUCCGAUUCCCCCAGAGCAAAUCCACCAUCUCCCAUCCGAUAACAGCUGAAGCAAUAUAUAUGAAAUUUCGUUAAAGAUGUUUGUUAUGGUGUUUAACGUUUUUUGUUUAAUAUAUAGAUGGAAAUCAUCUGCCUUAGAAUGUUGAAUCUGGAAAGAAUUUAAUUUGUUUAGAUAUAUAGAUAGUGUUGGUAAGGGAGUUUUAGGCUAUGAGUAACAUAUUAACAGAUAUUGUGGAGCCUUGCGGUAUGCCCACGUUAGGGAGGAAGGUAUUGGAGAUUAAUGUUCGGUAGCUCAUGAGUUAGUGAGCAAAAUGAGUUGUAUUAAACUGUCCUUCCUAUUUGUUCUUUUUGUUCACUGCCUCAUAUUUGCUCACUUGCUCUUUUUUGCCCACUUGCUCAGUUUGAUUAUCUUGCCCUUGUUUGUUCACCUGCUCAGUUGUUACGAACUGCUUUUUUCGGUGGCAGUGCCGCUAGCUCAGUCUUUUUCUCAGGGGCAGGUUACCCCUAAUGCCACAGUUCGCAACAUAAGUAUCGAUAACUCCGCGGUUUCACACUACUAAACUAUCGGUCAUCACUAAGAACAAAAACGUAAACAAAGCCAAGUGCUCCCACCCAACCAUGGAGGCCCUCGAGGUGCUGCAGGGCACCACCCAUUCUCUGUCGGAAGGAGCCCCCUCCUCGCGACUACGACGGUUCCAUCUCCCCCACUGGGAAAGCUUACUCACACAUUGUGGGUUUUACAAAGGUUUAAUAAACAUCCCUUUAAGACCGAGACCUGGCCGUCUUCAAUACUUACGCGGUCAAAGCAGAGGAUUGGUUUUGCUGGAAAAAGGGUACAGGCGCCGCGGAAAGUUAUGCUCUACCAGUCACUUAUUGGUAGAGCUCGCAUGGAAACACGGCCCUCAAAUGCAACAUACGCGAUGCGCGUGUGUAUGGUCACCUAAUCCUGAGGAGCUCCAGGGGAAAAGAAGGGACAGGCCAAAAAGGCAAACAAUGAGGACAUAUAAGGCUCUUAGGUCUAACUCCGAUUAAAUUCACAAUUGAAAAGGGAAGUAAAUAUCAAUAUAUAUAUAUAUAAUCAAGGUACACGUGUAUUUCAUUUUUCCUCAAUUUCGACCACUAUUGGGCCGGGCCUGGAGGCGAUGAUAGCCCGGGCGGAAGACUUCUCGCCGGAGGUCAGCAGCGAUACGGGUCUCCAAGGAAGAAAACUGGCACACUACGGUACGGUCGGAGGUUUGGCCGCCCGACAAAAUGACGGUACUUCUCAACGCCGCGAUGCGACGGCUGGAAGUCCCCGAGAUGAGGUGGACGUGGUAGACCGGAACGGACUCACCGGGAAAUGCUUGAUGUCGUCGGCGUUGACAGCGAAAGGAGUUUAUUGCUGGGCGUCUGCGCAGGUCGAAUGGACACCGGUUGCUGGCAGCCAAGUCGGGGCUGGUACGUAUGGCGAAGUCGCGCAGAUAUUAGUGGAAGUCCCAAGUAAAUAUGCCGGGGCCCCUUGUGUUGGGACCCCGGCUGAUUAUUAUUAAAUAACGAACUACCAUGUAACUUUAAUACAGUGGUCGGCACACACAUACCCUCACAAGUU